rnacentral:rRNA from 1 species
CACGUAGGCACCAAGCGUUGUUCGGAAUUACUGGGCGUAAAGAGUGUGUAGGCGGUGUUCUAAGUCUGUUGUGAAAUCUCCCGGCUUAACUGGGAGGGUGCGGCGGAAACUGGAAUGCUAGAGGAUGGGAGAGGUAAGCGGAAUUCCUGGUGUAGCGGUGAAAUGCGUAGAUAUCAGGAGGAACACCGGUGGCGAAGGCGGUUCUCUGGGCAUUACCUGACGCUGAGGAGCGAAAGUGUGGGGAGCGAACAGG